GAGCGGCGGACGGGUGAGUAAUGCCUAGGAAUCUGCCUGGUAGUGGGGGAUAACGUUCGGAAACGGACGCUAAUACCGCAUACGUCCUACGGGAGAAAGCAGGGGACCUUCGGGCCUUGCGCUAUCAGAUGAGCCUAGGUCGGAUUAGCUAGUUGGUGAGGUAAUGGCUCACCAAGGCGACGAUCCGUAACUGGUCUGAGAGGAUGAUCAGUCACACUGGAACUGAGACACGGUCCAGACUCCUACGGGAGGCAGCAGUGGGGAAUAUUGGACAAUGGGCGAAAGCCUGAUCCAGCCAUGCCGCGUGUGUGAAGAAGGUCUUCGGAUUGUAAAGCACUUUAAGUUGGGAGGAAGGGUUGUAGAUUAAUACUCUGCAAUUUUGACGUUACCGACAGAAUAAGCACCGGCUAACUCUGUGCCAGCAGCCGCGGUAAUACAGAGGGUGCAAGCGUUAAUCGGAAUUACUGGGCGUAAAGCGCGCGUAGGUGGUUUGUUAAGUUGGAUGUGAAAUCCCCGGGCUCAACCUGGGAACUGCAUUCAAAACUGACUGACUAGAGUAUGGUAGAGGGUGGUGGAAUUUCCUGUGUAGCGGUGAAAUGCGUAGAUAUAGGAAGGAACACCAGUGGCGAAGGCGACCACCUGGACUAAUACUGACACUGAGGUGCGAAAGCGU
rnacentral:rRNA from 1 species